rnacentral:lncRNA from 1 species
GGUUCCGGCAAGUGAUCCCUCUUAGCUAGUUUGAAGUGUUGGAUUGCUUUCCUCCAAGACUUGGUAUGUCCUCAUGGAUUCGAGGACAAGACUUUUAAGUUCUUUUGUUCAUGUAAUAGACACUUUUAGUUUUGUUUUGAUUGUAAAGGGCCGUGUCCCUACUUAUGUUUUGUUUGUGUCUAAGAUGGCCAUGUGAGACUUAGACUUCCGCUGUG